rnacentral:rRNA from 1 species
GACGGAGGAUGCAAGCGUUAUCCGGAAUGAUUGGGCGUAAAGCGUCCGCAGGUGGCAGUUCAAGUCUGCUGUCAAAGACCGGGGCUUAACUUCGGAAAGGCAGUGGAAACUGAACAGCUAGAGUAUGGUAGGGGCAGAGGGAAUUCCUGGUGUAGCGGUGAAAUGCGUAGAGAUCAGGAAGAACAUCGGUGGCGAAGGCGCUCUGCUGGACCAUAACUGACACUCAGGGACGAAAGCUAGGGGAG